rnacentral:rRNA from 1 species
UACAGAGGUCUCAAGCGUUGUUCGGAUUUAUUGGGCGUAAAGGGUGCGUAGGCGGCGCGGUAAGUCGGGUGUGAAAUUUCGAGGCUUAACUUCGAAACUGCAUUCGAUACUGCCGUGCUAGAGGACUGGAGAGGAGACUGGAAUUUACGGUGUAGCGGUGAAAUGCGUAGAUAUCGUAAGGAAGACCAGUGGCGAAGGCGGGUCUCUGGACAGUUCUUGACGCUGAGGCGCGAAAGCUAGGGGAGCAAACGGG